AUAGGAGAGCCGGAAUCUGAUCUCCCGGACAACAAGGCUCUGGCUGGGCAGCCAAUCAGGGGGCCAGAGGCAAAGGGAGGAGAAGCAGCAGUGUCAGAGAUGGGACUGGACAAGGGCUGCUAACCGAGCCCCUGCCCACCUGCCGCUACAGGAGCCUGGGAAUACAACAGACAUGUGGAGGUUCCUGCCCCAGGGAGCUCACUAGUGUGGGUCAGCAGCCACGACAGAGGCAACAGCCUCUCUUGCUGCUCCCUCUCCCUUGCUGAAGGCUGUGUCCUCCCAGCUUGAUGGCGCUCCUCCAGGCUGUGUCACUGCCCUCCUCAUCAAUGUCUGCUCUCUUCCUUCACAGUCCAGGAGUGGCAGCUCCCACCUCCCUGGGGAGGCAGCAGCCUCUCUGUGUGAUUAGAUCACUUAGAGACCAACCACCCUGUUGUAACCCUACCCUUCCUCCUCGCUGUGAAUCCCUCAGACACAGAGCCCAGGUCCUAUUCAUCCAGCCCCCAGACAGUGCCCAGCAGGGCCUCACUCGAAGUAGGCAGGCAAUCCCAGUACAUUUCUCCAACUGAGAAUACCUUUAUUUUCUACUCAUUAUACAAAUAAAACAGGCUCAUGGUGAAAACAAAACACCAAAAAAGAAGCAAUACAUAAAACCACAGCUGACAAGAAAGCAAAUAUCCUCUCAACAUCUACCACCUAUUAAAUUAUACAGUUUAAUAGAGAUGGCCACUAUUAGUCUGACAUUUUUCCCCUGUGAACAGAAUUAUACAGAUGCCUGUCCACUGAACAGGUAGAGAGACUAAGAGAGAAGGCAACAUGUAAGAAAGAGCACGGUGCUGGGGUGUCUGCUUCAGAGGACUGGGCAACAAACAGUCUGCACUGGACAGGGGGCUCUGUAGUUGAAAUGGAGGUCCAGGCAGGUCCUAUAGCAUCCGGCCUCCUCCCCAGCUCAUGCUUGGGGGCCUUGCCAAGGCUUCCUCUAGUUGGGAAGUCUUGUGCUUCUGAGUGGGAGCUCCUGGAAGCAGCCCACCCCUGUAACCGCAGCAAGUACCCCACCCAGGCUUUGUUUCUUGACAACCACUUACAAUACCUAUCUUUCCAUCUGGCCCUCUCGCCAUCCUAGGAUCUGACUUACGCCGGAGCCUUCCUCCCCAAGUACCUGCACGACUGUAAGUGCUCGGAUCACUGGGUACCGACCUGAGGUGUGUGUCUACGUGUAUGUGUGUGUGUGUGGCCCACCUGACCUCAUCCCACCUAACCAAAGGCUUAAUUCUCCCCUGCAGGACUUGACUCAGGAGAGGACCUCUCCAAAGGAUUAAGCAAAAGCCCAGAAAUCCGCAUGUCACUGCCAAGGGAGGGGGCUGUGAGGGAUCCACUGCCAUGAGGUUUAUAGCAACACUGUGACAAGACCUACAUGGACAGCUGCAAGGACAAAGGAUUCCUGCACCAAGAAGUAUGCAACCACCAGCCACCCGCCUCCCCUUUCAGUAUGAAAGCAGCCUGAAUUCUAACUCGGGGCUCAGAUUCACUCAUUCUCCUACGAGAGCAGGAGAUUUGAAGCAGAACAGACACAAAACACUGAACAACUUCUUCAGCUGUGUCACUGCAGGCCUGCCUCUUGGGCGGAAGUUCUGGAUCUGGAGGGAACCCUGGCUUUUCUCAGGCCCCUGUGGUCUAACUGCCACCCCACAAUGCAUACUCCAUGCUGCCCUUCUGCAGCCUGCCAGCACCAGAGAAGGCAAACAGCCCUGCCCAGUUGUAAUCUCCCUGUGUCAGAGGCCACUGAGCUCAGGGAUGGGCUGGCUCCCGCACAGUGUCUCCAGACAGUUCUUGCCACACACGCCUCAGCAGAAGGAGGUUUGGAGUGUCUCUGCUCAACAUUUCACAAAAAGGCAAGUACCCAGCUGGCAGGAGAGCUGCCUUAUUUCUGGGAUACUAAUAGAGCCUGGGGCUUCGAGCCUCAGAAUUCCAGUCCUCACCAAACUUUCCAAGCACCAUUUAAGUGACAGAAGCAGAUAAGACAAAAUAAGAAAUGUCUUCAUACCCCACAGGAACAACGCAUAAGAUGUCAAAUAAAUGGCAUGCCCUUAUAAAGAACAGCAAUACAGGAACGGCCACACCAAGAAUAGCGCAAACCUAAUUCAAAUUCCUACAAGCUGUAAGCACCUGGACAAGGCACUGUUUUUGUAUCAGUAAAACAGGAAUGAUUCCCAAAUUACAAAAUGUAAUCUUCCACAGAGUUGUAAGAAUCAAAGGAUUAAAUGUAUACGUGGUGCUUUGUAAGCUACCUUACGAAGAGUGACAUAAUGUGAGGUGUAAUUCUUACUCAUUUCUAGAUUAGUCAAUGAUUGCCCCUUAAAUGUUGUUUGUACAUGAGAUGGAGGGUUUCUGAUGACCCGGUAUGUUCCAAGGAGACAGGGUUUCUGAUCUCCAGGACUGGGCUGGAGCAGAAGCAUCAGAGCCUAUAUACAAGCUGGCUCCCGGACAAUGC